rnacentral:rRNA from 1 species
AAGCUCGUAGUUGAAUUUCGGGGUUAGUAGGUUGGUCAUGCCUCUGGUAUGUACUGGUCUCACUGAUUCCUCCUUCCUUAUGAACCGUAAUGCCAUUAAUUUGGUGUUGCGGGGAAUUUGGACUGUUACUUUGAAAAAAUUAGAGUGUUUAAAGCAAGCUAACGCUUGAAUACAUUAGCAUGGAAUAAUGAAAUAGGACGUUCGAUCUUAUUUUAGUUGGUUUCUAGGAUUGACGUAAUGAUUAAUAGGAUAGUUGGG